UGCAUGAGAAAUGAACCUUUAUGGUUUGAAGGCCCUGGGAUCAGAGGGAUAUUUGUUAUACAGCAGAAUCUUUCUCAUCCUGAUGAUACAUCUUCCUUGUUUUGUUUCACUCAAUCCUAAACCUCUGCAUCUCAACUCUGGUUUCAUCAUUUUGCUAACAUAUCACCAUUUAUUAUCCUUUUCUUUCUCUGCCCCUCUAGCUCACCUGAGUUGUUUUUUUACCCCUUAGGACAGACAUGGAUUUGUAUUUUUAAUGAUCAUAAAUAGAUUGGCUUUUAUUUUCCGCAAAUUUGGAAGAACAUAAUUUGAAGAAAGGAAUGUUCAACCCGACAUAAGAAAAAUACUUUAAGCCCAAUGGUCUGAAUGCUUUAGGUCUAGAAUAAAAGACAGAGAAAUAUGUAUUUGUUCAUCUCAGAAAACUGAAGGGAAGGAAUGUUCUCAAAGACUUAAUAAGUCUGAAAUACAAGUCCACGUAAAAGAAGAAUAGACAGACUUCUUGGACAAAUUGAAAAGAAAUUGCCAAACUCCCUGUGGCCUUGAAAUCUUGAAUUCUUCAAUGUGUAGGAAAAGAAAUAGAAGAGAGCAGAGUGGCAUCUCAGAAGUUACUCUGAAAGUCAAUUCUUUCUGACCAUACCGCUCAAAGGCAAGUGAGAAGUUUUAGGAGGUGGCGGGAAGCACUUUUAAUGUAAUAACCUUCAAUUCCCAGUAGGACACAAACCACAUGUUGGUGUUAUGGAUAAAUUCUGAACAGCAUCUGAGGAGACUAAACUACUGCUCAUUGCCACAUUUCCUGCAAAAGAGGCUUGAGCUAAUUCCUGAGGACCAUCUGCUCAGCCAGGCCAGAGAAAUACCUUUAAGUUCCAGCAGUGGAGACUGGGCUUACUCUCUAGAGACAUGUGCCUCUAUUCCAAACAGAGCAAGGACUCAGAUUAGCUACAUCUCCAAGAAAACACUCGAAAAAGCACAGAAAGGGAAAAUGGUCUCUUUGCCCUUUAUCAAAAGGAGAAAAUCAUUUUCAUUUACCCUUACAAUGAACAUCUGGCUCACUUCCUGUUUGGGCUAUUGCAAAUAAAGCUGCUAUGAACGUUCA